rnacentral:rRNA from 1 species
GGAGGCUAACCGGGGGAACUGAAACAUCUCAGUACCCCGAGGAAAAGAAAUCAACCGAGAUUCCCCCAGUAGCGGCGAGCGGACGGGGAGCAGCCCAGAGUCAGCAUCAAUAUUUACCGCAGGAGAAGGGUCUGGAAAGGCCGGCAAUAAAGGGUGAUAGCCCCGUAUCUGAAGCGGUAAGUGUUGUGAACUCGAAGAGUAGGGCGGGACACGUGUUAUCCUGUCUGAAUAUGGGGGGACCAUCCUCCAAGGCUAAAUACUCCUGACUGACCAAUAGUGAACCAGUACCGCGAGGGAAAGGCGAAAAGAACCCCGGCAAGGGGAGUGAAAUAGAACCUGAAACCGUGUACGUACAAGCAGUGGGAGCACCCGAAAGGGUGUGACUGCGUACCUUUUGUAUAAUGGGUCAGCGACUUAUAUUCUGUAGCAAGGUUAACCGCAUAAGGGAACCGUAGGGAAACCGAAUCUUAACUGGGCGUUAAGUUGUAGGGUAUAGACCCGAAACCCAAUGAUCUAGCCACGGGUAAGUUGAAG